ACUUAAUGAACGUUAAAUACGCUGAAGAAGAAGUCACAUUAUUAAAAACAUGGAGCAGGGACUCUGAGCUCCCUUCAGAUCGAGUCCACUUGACGAGAGCGUCUUCCAAGCUGGAGGGUUAGCUCUAGUUGUCAGCACUCAGUGGUAAGAAGUUGGGUCAGAGAUAAAUUUAGUUUCCUCUGUUAACCUACAUCAAGAGGCGACAUGGCACAACAGGACUGGCCUGCUGGAAGUAGCCCCAGUUUGUUUGUUUCUGCUGCAGAGUGUCAAGAAUUCAUUACGGGUGGCCUACUUCAGGAACACUUUCUCAGUGGCAAUGAAAGACGAAUGAAUGUCCUUGAAAUCAGUCAGAUUUUAUUAUCAUGACUGUUAUCACUGCAAACAGAGGGUUAGACUGAAGUGUUGGAACUUGGAACUUACUAUACGGCUUGUUCCUGUUGAAUACAUGUCUGUUAUUGUGCAAAUAAAGUGAUUUUAAGAAGCUUAAA